UACGAAGGGGGCUAGCGUUGCUCGGAAUGACUGGGCGUAAAGGGCGCGUAGGCGGUUUGCACAGUCAGAUGUGAAAUUCCUGGGCUCAACCUGGGGGCUGCAUUUGAUACGUGUAGACUUGAGUGGGGAAGAGGGUCGUGGAAUUCCCAGUGUAGAGGUGAAAUUCGUAGAUAUUGGGAAGAACACCGGUGGCGAAGGCGGCGACCUGGUCCUUGACUGACGCUGAGCGCGAAAGCGUGGGGAGCAAACAGG
rnacentral:rRNA from 1 species